UCAAAUUUUCGAGCAUCCACUCGAUGGACCCUGUGUGGAUUCAGAAUUAAUAACCGACAUAUAUGCUUCUUCUUUUUCAGACGCUCCCCAACAUACGUACUUGCAACGUAGAUGUACUAGGUAAUCGCAUCAGCCAUGUACUAGGUAAUCGCAUCAGCACCAUUAAAUGUCAAAACAAAUUGUAAUGAAGAAUUCGCCCUAAAAGUACCUUUUUAUUGAUUGCCGGCCAGAAAUCAAGAACUUUGUUAAUUACUAAUAAAUUAAAGCUGAAAAAGUGACGCACAGAAAACGAAAGCCCCUGCUUAAAUAAACAAAUAAAAAAUAUUAACUGAUAUCUUCAUAGAUAUCCGAUAUUGUGUCAUAGAGUAUCUAAUAUCGCAAUAAAGAAAGAUUCAAGCAACGACGACAACAAGUGGUUGACAUCAAUUGAGUGGGGUUAUUAGCAACAACGAGCAAGCAUCCUUGAGGGGUCGACGGUCUACUUUUUUUAUUGGUUGAAAAAAACUUUACGAAACUGGGUUAUCUAGACGAUUUGGACGAUUUCCCCGAGGACUUUGACGACGACAUGGAUUUCUGGAGUAUAUGUUUCAUGUUCUUUUUCGUCUUUGUCAUAUUUAGCUGCUGUGGCUAUUGCUGUACAAAAAAGCGACGUGGAACUGUCUUAUCUGGUGAGUUCAAUGGUAUCUCUUGUUUGUUACUUGUUUUUCGUUUAUUAUCAAAUUGAUAGCUCUAUAUUAUAAUUUGUAUCAACUCCAUAACAAGCCAAAUGACAAAUGGAUGGUUGAAAGGCGAAACGCAGUUGUUACCAAUUCCAUUGUGGGAUGCGGUCCUGGGUUUCGCGAAAUUGAUUGUGUGUUUGUUACACUAAAUUUUAACACAACAUAAACCUAGUAAAGACACCAGGCACAUAGCAUAAAAAUUAUUGGAACAACAGCGUCGCCAAUUAUGUAUCGUCAACUCGACUGACACAAGAAUUGUAUCGCCUUGUUCAUGAAAUGGUGUUCUAGUUCUUAACUCCGUAAACAGGACAGGCGGGGAAAGGUUGCGUAAAAGAAAAGUAAUUUUUUGGGAUAGAAUAGAAUUGAAUUAGGUAAAUGUCAAAAAUGCUACUUUAAUGCUGAUAAGAAAUCAAAUAUCUAAAAAUGCCAGUUUUUUUUGGAAAUGUGGUCGAAUGUUUAUUUCAUAUGUCCGUCAAAUGGCAACCUAUACUUAGUGUCAUUUCCUUUUCAUGAAAUUUUUGCAUUACCCAAACGCAAGGUGGUGAUGACCUAAUGUUCUCUCAAUAGCUUCGUGAAUUUCAUACUUAAGGUUUGGAUCGGCCCCAAAAAGAAAAAUCGAAAAAUAUCUUAGAGCUAACAUGGUUUUAGAAAGAGCUAAAUCUUUCGUUGUCCAUACCAAUUUCAUAGAAACGCUUUGAAGAUGGAGAAUCUUAUUCACAAUACCUCUAUGUUUGCGACUCCCGUUGUGAUUAUUCUUCGACCAACCAGCUUUCAAAUUUCCCAACAGCAGGACUAGUAAAAGAGCACGUUGAUCUCCUCCUCUCCUAUCCUACUGGUCCCAGAAUCAGUGAAUUGAUAGUGAAAGUCAACCGUUUCAUCUAAAUUACGUUGAAGAAUUAUGGCCGUUUUAAAGUUUUCUAUAAUUCAUGCUUAAAAAUGUGAUCACAAAUGAUAGCUUAAAACUUCAA
rnacentral:sRNA from 1 species